CUUCAUUAUUGUGAGCAAUUAUGUGGCACCUUAUGAGAAGCAGUAUGCAGAGGAGGUAACCAUGAAAGCAAAUGAACAAAGUUCAAGUGAUAGACUAAUGGAAGCCUCCACUGCUACACCUGUUUCCAAGGAUGAAGUGAAGGAAACUAAGUCAGAACCUAAGGGAUCAUCAUCAAAAAUAGAACAGGACUUGGACGUUUUUCUUUUGGGUGACCUUGGAAGUGAGGAUGAUGGCCCAGAUGGAGGUUAUGAUGGAUUUGAUGAUGAUUUUGAUAAGAAUGGAAAGAUGG